rnacentral:rRNA from 1 species
UUUAAUCUAGAAACACUUUCCAGUACUUCUACUUUGUUACGACUUAUUUCAAUUUUUAAAUGAAAGUGACGGGCAAUAUGUACAUAUUUUAAUUUUUAAUCAUUUUAUUAUAUUAAAUAAAAUUACAUUUAAAUCCAAUUUAAUUAUUUUAUUACAAAAAUAAAUCCAUUUAAAUAAUUUUAUUGUAAUCCAUCAUAUUCUUAAUUAUAAUCUACAUCUUGAUUUGAAUUAAUUUUUUAUUUUAAUUUUUAAAUAUUAUUUUUUUUUAAAAAUAUUUUUUUUACAACGAUAUAUAAAAUUUUAAAUUAAGUAAAUUUAAUCGUGGAUUAUCAAUUAUUAGACAGAUUCCUCUAAAUGAACUAAAAUACUGCCAAUUUAUUUAAGUUUCAAUAAAUUAUUAUUUACUAUUUUAGUAUUAUAAAUUAAAUUUUA